UACGGAGGGUGCAAACGUUGCUCGGAAUUAUUGGGCGUAAAGCGCGUGUAGGCGGCUUUGAAAGUCGAGUGUGAAAGCCCUGGGCUUAACCCAGGAAGUGCGCUCGAUACUGCUUAGCUAGAGUACGGGAGAGGGUGGCGGAAUUCCCGGUGUAGAGGUGAAAUUCGUAGAUAUCGGGAGGAACACCAGUGGCGAAGGCGGCCACCUGGACCGAUACUGACGCUGAGACGCGAAAGCGUGGGUAGCAAACAGGAUUAGAUACCCUCGUA
rnacentral:rRNA from 1 species